UACGGAGGGGGCUAGCGUUGUUCGGAUUUACUGGGCGUAAAGGGCGCGUAGGCGGCGUGACAAGUCACUUGUGAAAUCUCCGGGCUUAACUCGGAACGGUCAAGUGAAACUGUCGUGCUAGAGUACAGAAGGGGCAACUGGAAUUCUCGGUGUAGCGGUGAAAUGCGUAGAUAUCGAGAGGAACACCUGCGGCGAAGGCGGGUUGCUGGGCUGAUACUGACGCUGAUGCGCGAAAGCCAGGGGAGCGAACGGG
rnacentral:rRNA from 1 species